UGUGUUUCCUCUUCUACAACAUUUAAAAGCAGUGCAUCCUUGCAGACUCAAAGCACUAUCUGUCGUCCAUCAGUCAUCAUGAAUCUAAUAACCGCAUUUCUGCUAAUGAUCCUAACAGGACAUAGCACAUCUGAAUAUCUGCAGAAACUCUUCUGCUCCUAUGAGAACAAGAACAUAACUCUGAGGCCCAGGGUGUGGUGCAAAAGAGAUGCCCAGGAUGAAAACUGCUGUACGGGCUUCUCUUUCCAGCCAAGCGUCAAGCAUUUGGAGCAAGGCAACAUAGCUGUGGAGGAUGAUGGAAAGUCCUUCACCAUCUCGGUAAAGACACUCACGCAAGGGGAUGGAGUCUACUGGUGUGGGUUCAUUACUGGAGACAAGAUCAUUGUAAAACUGGCCGAGGGUUACUUUAGCAACACUCCAUUUAACUUUGUUUGGUCCAUCCUCCGCUGGAUUUUAUUUAUUUUGCUCCCUGUGGCGAUCAUUUCAACUCACAUUUAUUCAAACAGUGAGUCCUCGCAAACCACCUCAAUAAUAAAAACCUCAAUAGCCUACUAAAAAAAAUCUUUGAACACGUCUUUAACCUCUGUAAAUGUGUAUUUUUAUUUGAUUACAUGUCACUGUUUUGCUGACCAUAGGAAAACAUGGAGAUGCUAAGGUAAGAGCACACGGGUUCAUUUAGUCUCCGCUGAUAACAUCAAUAAAAUGUGGGUUUUUAACUUAAAUUAUCCUAUUUGCAGACAACAUAACACAUUACAUGAUGUCACAUGCCACAGAAAAGUGGAUGGAAGAAUGAGGCCGUCACCUUUAAUGAAGAAUAAACACAAUAUCAUUUAACUUCAGCCACCAUCGAGUGUAAAGUGUGUUGUAAUUCCUUGUAAUUGUUUAGCUUUUUUUUGUUUUUAAAUACAAAAAGGUUCACAGUGACAAGCAGCAUGACAAUAUUUCAUUUUUUAUGUAAAUCAACGUACAAUUUGGUGC
rnacentral:lncRNA from 1 species